rnacentral:rRNA from 1 species
GACGAACGCUGGCGGCGUGCUUAACACAUGCAAGUCGAACGGAAAGACCCUGCUUUUGUGGGGUUCUCGAUUGCCGAACGCGUGAGUAUCACGUGAGUAACCCGCCCUUGUCUUUGGGGUAACUUCAGGAAACGGGGGCUAAUACCGGAUAGAAUCUCCUGCACCAUUGUGGGCGUUGGAAAGUUUCGGCUGUUGGGGAUGGACUCGCGGCUUAUCAGCUUGUUGGUGGGGUAGUGGCUUACCAAGCCUGUGACGGGUAGCCGGCAUGAGAGGGUGGCCGGCGACAUGAGGACUGAGGUAAGGACCAGACUGCUACGGGAGGCAGUAGUGGGGAACAUUGCACAGUGGGCCGAAGUCUGAUGCGGCAACGUCGCGUGCGGGAUGACGGCUUUUGGGUUGUAAACCGCUUUCGCCUGUGACGCAGCGUGAGUGACGGUAAUGGGUAAAGAAGCACCGGCUAACUACGUG